AUCCAAAAACGUGCAAAGAAGGAUUGAUUCCUUCUGUGUUCUAACUCAAUCACUAAACUUGUAAGAUACAGGGCCAGGACUCAAGUGGCAUCAUGGUGAAAACCAUUACAUAAUUUAUU